rnacentral:rRNA from 1 species
ACGAACCGUACAAACGUUACUCGGAAUUACUGGGCUUAAAGGGUGCGUAGGCUGCGCGGAAAGUUGGGUGUGAAAUCCCUCAGCUCAACUGGGGAAUUGCAUUCAAAACUGCCGUGCUAGAGGGAGACAGAGGUAAGCGGAACUCAAGGUGGAGCGGUGAAAUGCGUUGAUAUCUUGAGGAACACCGGUGGCGAAGGCGGCUUACUGGGUCUCUUCUGACGCUGAGGCACGAAAGCUAAGGUAGCAAACGGG